rnacentral:rRNA from 1 species
AAUUUGAAAUCGGCCUCCAGGUCGAGUUGUAAUUUGUAGAUUGUAUCUUGAGAGCGGAUUAAAGUCUGUUGGAACACAGCGCCUUAGAGGGUGACAGCCCCGUAAAAUCUAUUCUCAUUGUAAGAUACUUUCGAAGAGUCGAGUUGUUUGGGAAUGCAGCUCUAAGUGGGAGGUAAAUUCCUUCUAAAGCUAAAUAUUGACGAGAGACCGAUAGCGAACAAGUACUGUGAAGGAAAGAUGAAAAGCACUUUGAAAAGAGAGUGAAAAAGUACGUGAAAUUGUUAAAAGGGAAGGGUAUUGAAUCAGACUUGGUGCUGUUGUUCAACUGUGUUUCGGCACAGUGUACUCAGCAGUACUAGGCCAAGGUGGGGUGUUUGGGAGUGAAAAAGAAGUUGGAACGUAACUCUUCGGAGUGUUAUAGCCUACUUUCAUAGCUCCUCAGCGCCUCAGGACUGCGCUUCGGCAAGGACCUUGGCAUAAUGAUUCUAUACCGCCCGUCU